rnacentral:sRNA from 1 species
GCCAGGCGUGGUGCUGCACACCUGUAAUCUCAGAGACUUCGGAGGCUGAGGCAGGAGGAUUGCAGGUUCGAGGGUAGCCCCAACAGCUUAGUGAGACCCUGACUCAA